rnacentral:rRNA from 1 species
GAUGAACGCUGGCGGCGUGCCUAAUACAUGCAAGUCGAGCGAACGGACGAGAAGCUUGCUUCUCUGAUGUUAGCGGCGGACGGGUGAGUAACACGUGGAUAACCUACCUAUAAGACUGGGAUAACUUCGGGAAACCGGAGCUAAUACCGGAUAAUAUUUUGAACCGCAUGGUUCAAAAGUGAAAGACGGUCUUGCUGUCACUUAUAGAUGGAUCCGCGCUGCAUUAGCUAGUUGGUAAGGUAACGGCUUACCAAGGCAACGAUGCAUAGCCGACCUGAGAGGGUGAUCGGCCACACUGGAACUGAGACACGGUCCAGACUCCUACGGGAGGCAGCAGUAGGGAAUCUUCCGCAAUGGGCGAAAGCCUGACGGAGCAACGCCGCGUGAGUGAUGAAGGUCUUCGGAUCGUAAAACUCUGUUAUUAGGGAAGAACAUAUGUGUAAGUAACUGUGCACAUCUUGACGGUACCUAAUCAGAAAGCCACGGCUAACUACGUGCCAGCAGCCGCGGUAAUACGUAGGUGGCAAGCGUUAUCCGGAAUUAUUGGGCGUAAAGCGCGCGUAGGCGGUUUUUUAAGUCUGAUGUGAAAGCCCACGGCUCAACCGUGGAGGGUCAUUGGAAACUGGAAAACUUGAGUGCAGAAGAGGAAAGUGGAAUUCCAUGUGUAGCGGUGAAAUGCGCAGAGAUAUGGAGGAACACCAGUGGCGAAGGCGACUUUCUGGUCUGUAACUGACGCUGAUGUGCGAAAGCGUGGGGAUCAAACAGGAUUAGAUACCCUGGUAGUCCACGCCGUAAACGAUGAGUGCUAAGUGUUAGGGGGUUUCCGCCCCUUAGUGCUGCAGCUAACGCAUUAAGCACUCCGCCUGGGGAGUACGACCGCAAGGUUGAAACACAAAGGAAUUGACGGGGACCCGCACAAGCGGUGGAGCAUGUGGUUUAAUUCGAAGCAACGCGAAGAACCUUACCAAAUCUUGACAUCCUUUGACAACUCUAGAGAUAGAGCUUUCCCCUUCGGGGGACAAAGUGACAGGUGGUGCAUGGUUGUCGUCAGCUCGUGUCGUGAGAUGUUGGGUUAAGUCCCGCAACGAGCGCAACCCUUAAGCUUAGUUGCCAUCAUUAAGUUGGGCACUCUAAGUUGACUGCCGGUGACAAACCGGAGGAAGGUGGGGAUGACGUCAAAUCAUCAUGCCCCUUAUGAUUUGGGCUACACACGUGCUACAAUGGACAAUACAAAGGGCAGCGAAACCGCGAGGUCAAGCAAAUCCCAUAAAGUUGUUCUCAGUUCGGAUUGUAGUCUGCAACUCGACUACAUGAAGCUGGAAUCGCUAGUAAUCGUAGAUCAGCAUGCUACGGUGAAUACGUUCCCGGGUCU